GUGUUUGCUUAUGUAGUACAUAUACUAAAAUUGGAGUGAUGCAGAGAUUAGCAUAGCCUCUGAACAAGGAUGACAUGCAAGUUCAUGAAUUGCCCCAUAUUCUU